rnacentral:lncRNA from 1 species
AGAAAAAUAGACCGAAUAUCACCAAGUUCAAAGACUGAAUAAAUGAAUCAUACAGAAUAUUGUCAAAACCCCGUAUUUUUCUCACUAAAACAAAGUUAUGUACUUGCAUACAACCCUCUUUGAACUUGGACGGCACCUAGUGCUCAACUUGGACGAUGACCAAUGCUCAACUCGAACGGAGGAGCUUCCAUUGCAGUGGAGAAGACAUUGACAUGCACUGGAGCUUGGCGUGCUGGAGUGAUACACUUCACGCCUACCUAAUGUCACGGUACCCUGCACACACACCAGCCAACAAUUAACCAUGUGGACUAAAUUGGAGCUACAAUAUGAAUUGAACUGGAUGAAAUUUAGAAAUUGAACUAACAAAAGAAACUAGACACCACAUGUACAUCAAAUAAAAAAGUGGAGUAGUUAGUACCAACUACUAAACUAAUGUACUGGAUAUUGAACUUAUAGAUUGUAUGUUGGCGAACUUUUACACUUGCCGGGAGUAAUCAACAUGAACUUUUACACUUGACGGAAAGUUGUAAAAUAUCUGCAGAACUGAAGGAUAUGCUUUUUGUAUUAUCUCUGAUCACAAUGAACAAAGUAUUUAGAACUGACGCAUAUAUGAUACUAGAUCAAUACUAAAAUGGAUAAUAUUUGUUUAAGUUUCUAUGUAUGAACCUACCAAAUUUCUAAACAUGAACUUCUCGCUAGGGUUAUUCUUCGGUAUUGAAAACUGUUUUCUGCAUUAACAACAAGCACCUAAAGAGCAUCAUGUUUUCUACAAGUAUAUAUGAACUUUUGAGAGGACACUUUAUUUAUUUCACUGCAUUUUCUCCACAAUUGGAGCGACAAAUGCCAUCUGUUUUUUUUGUAAAAUGGAAGUACAAAAACAUUUGUAACAUGAAUUUUUGCUAAUGGACAUGUACUGAUAAAAUACCACAGUUAUUUGUUGUCAAACUGUACUUAGUUUGGACAAGCAGCUCAGCCACUUUUGGCACAUGUAUUAACAUAUCUAGUUGACAAGUGGUACCAAAUGUCUGAAACUAGAAAAAGUACAGAAGCUGAAUCAACACAGUACAACUCUUUGCCCCAUGCAGCAAAGUGUGAGAAGAGAUGUAAACUAAUGAAUUCUCACCCAGUUGCGGUUGUUUCUUUUUGGAAUCCAUUGAACUGAAAAAACCCGACAAUGUGUACUGAAAAACUAACUACAACGUGAAAUGAAAACAACAUACAAGUGUAGAUGGGGGCAUUGAUCUGGAGCUCGAUCCGGCACGGGGAGACGGCAGAGUUGCCGGCUGGGUUGCGGGGUGACUGAAACUAAUGAAGAUCCAAACUAGUAUAUUUAUCUAUCGUAAGAAGAUAGAAUUAUGAACUGAUGAAAACUUAUAUCAUGAACUGAUACACAUAGUAUAGAUAUAUCUUUCUCUGGACAAGAAAAAAGAAUUCUCCAGACAACCAUCAUAUUGCAGAGACUAAUUAAGCUCUAUUUUUUGUGGCCAUCCAGCAACAACAUUCUUACAAACAUGGUGCACACAAACUGUCAUUGCGCAAUAAGAAACUACAAUUAAUUAGCCUACGAUGCUCUAGUUCAGCUACACUGCAACAAUUCAUUAUUUUUUUGUAUACCACCAUCAACCAUGGCAGUGGCACUUAUCAUCUAAAAACACAUAGUGGAAUGUUCAACAAACAACUAGUAAAACUGCGGGUAGAAGCAGGCAUGUAUGCAUCAACACUGCAGCAUGGGCCUACGGAUUACCGCUUUCCUAGAUUUUUGAACGUAUGCUUUUUAUCUUCAUGAAGUUACCCAUGUUUUCUAAGCAAGAUGUGCACUCCCCAAAACAGAGUGUACUUACUAGCCAUCAGUAAUCGAACUUCAAGCAUUGUGUGUGUGUAAAAUAUACUUUUUUAACCAAAGUGAACCCUAGUUUGUAGGCGAACCUUUUCAUGUAGAUGUACAGACAUGAAAAGGCUAUGAUGAUAGAAGUGUUGUAUAAAGCUCCACAAAGAAGAAGAAUCUUCUUUGCCAAAUGAAUCAUACAAAAUAUUAACCAAAAAUCAUUAGUAUACACAUUAUCCAGAUAUCUCAUAAGCCAUUUUGUGUACAACAUCAUUAUCAAGCACAAGUGCUAUAGGAAGAAGAUUGAAACACUAAAUAAAUUGGACUUACCAAUGGAAAGUCGAUGAACCGAAAAGCAUAUAGAAGAUGAAUUUGUGAAUCUGGCUUUGUUAUGCAUCCUGCAAGAAAAUAAGAACUAUAACAAUAAAGCAUUACCACACUGAUUUACUUGUUUCACUAUUAAAAAUGGGUUUCAAACACAACUUCUAAGCAGACAGUGCUUACUUUUGCUCUCCCACUUGGACUGAACAGGCAAAAACAGAACGCAUCACUUGCGCUAACAAUGUAGAAAUCCAAUGAACACAAAAAAUAUAGAAUUAUUCCGAUACCUCGGGCGAAUGGCUCUGCAUAUGUCGCUUCAGAUGAGUCGGUUGGACUGAUUUCCUUCUCCCAUCUGGACAAAUAAAUUGUAGAACUUGCACGUCGACGUCGCAAAACUCACACUUUGGACGGAUCUCCUUCUUCCAUCUGGACUGACAGUUGCAGAACUUCCAUCAGGCAACAAACGUAACAAGCACGAAUACAGCG